rnacentral:rRNA from 1 species
GACGAACGCUGGCGGCGUGCUUAACACAUGCAAGUCGAACGGAAAGGCCCUGCUUGCAGGGUACUCGAGUGGCGAACGGGUGAGUAACACGUGGGUGAUCUGCCCUGCACUUCGGGAUAAGCCUGGGAAACUGGGUCUAAUACCGGAUAGGAGCCAUCUUUAGUGUGAUGGUUGGAAAGUUUUUUCGGUGUAGGAUGAGCUCGCGGCCUAUCAGAUUGUUGGUGGGGUAAUGGCCUACCAAGGCGGCGACGGGUAGCCGGCCUGAGGGGGUGGACGGCCACAAUGGGACUGAGAGACGGCCCAGUCUCCUACGGGAGGCAGCAGUGGGGAAUAUUGCACAAUGGGCGCAAGCCUGUUGCAGCGACGCCGCGUGGGUGAUGACGGCCUUCGGGUUGUAAACUCCUUUCGCUAGGGACGAAGCUUUUUGUGACGGUACCUAGAUAAGAAGCACCGGCUAACUACGUG